CUCUUCCAUCCCCUUCUCCUUUGCUUCUCCUUUUCCUUCUCCUCUUUUUCUUCUUUCUUCUUCUUUAGCUUCUUCUGCUGCUGCUUCUGCUCCUUCUCCUGUUCUUUUCUUCCUCCUCCUCCUUCACCAUUAAAACUACAAUUAUUACUACAACUAUCACUACUACCACCACCACCAUUACUACUAUAGCUAUUACUUUUACUACUAAUUCUAUUGCUACAAUUAUCAUAAUAUAGAAUGAAUAUAAAGGACAUAAAAACCUUCUAUAUAAUUGAGCUGAGCUUUCAAUAAUGAGUUCCAGUUGUUUAUUUUCAUUGGGUCAUAGAAGUUACAUUUGGGAAAAUAAUCACACAAUCAGAGUUUUUAACCUUUUCUCUAUUAUGAGCUGUCAGAAAUCAGAGACCAUCUUGUAUUUGUCUAUAUCUUCCUUGAUCUAUAUAAUCCUUCCAGGAUUAUAUUCUCUUUUUCUAAAACCUUAGAAACUUUAUUGAAUUUGUUGGAUUUUAUCAAGAAAAUCUUCUUCAGAGACAAGUUAAUGAGUUCUAUAUUAUGCUAAAGAUGAUAAAUCAUUUGACUUUACAUACUUCCUUGGUCACAAAGCAAAACCAGAUACUAUAGUGUUGAUGUUAAAGAGCCUAAUCCCUUGAGGUUUUCUCUCCAUCAGUCAGCUUCUUCCUUUCUGACUCUGGCUAUUUUUGGAUCCUCAAGUUCCAUGCCCCAUCAUUACUGACAACUUGAUAAACCCUCUUCAUUUACAUUUGACAUGCUGUAGCUCACCUAGGGGAAGACUUCUGAAGUUUCCCCAUCUUCUUUCCUGUCUGUGCAGUUUAUUUCCUUGAUUCUUGAUGGACAUUUCCCUCUCUUCAAAGAAAGUACAUAUUUCCUCUCAGGGAAAGACUUUUUCAAGAGAUUUAAUUGGUCUCUUCAAACUGAGACUCCUAUUCCCCUCUUCAUGGAGCAAAGGUAUCUCCAUUUUAGCCUUUGGCACAUUUUCUCUUCUGAUUCUGAAGAAGGCCGAUGGUUCCUUCACAAACCCAGAAGUUCUGAUAAUAGCAGCUUUGCCAUUGUCUUCUCUUCUGCCAAACAUCUAACCAUUAUUCAGAUUGAAACUUCAGUUCCUUCUUGUUUCAUGUAAAAACACUAUCAACAAGGCCAAUAAUUUUUUCAGUAUGUCCCAUUGUGAACUCUGAAAAGCCAAACCUAACAGCACAUUACUCUUUACAUAUUUGCAAUCCUCAUGGACCAUUCAGAAAUUUCUUUAAAAGAUUAAAAUAUUUGUGA